rnacentral:rRNA from 1 species
GCACGGAGUUAGCCGGAGCUUAUUCUCCAGGUACUGUCAUUAUCAUCCCUGGCAAAAGAGCUUUACAACCCUAAGGCCUUCAUCACUCACGCGGCAUUGCUGGAUCAGGCUUUCGCCCAUUGUCCAAUAUUCCCCACUGCUGCCUCCCGUAGGAGUCUGGGCCGUGUCUCAGUCCCAGUGUGGCUGAUCAUCCUCUCAGACCAGCUAAGGAUCGUCGCCUUGGUGAGCCUUUACCUCACCAACUAGCUAAUCCUACGCGGGCUCAUCCCUGGGCGAUAAAUCUUUGGUCCGAAGACAUCAUCCGGUAUUAGCAGUCAUUUCUAACUGUUAUUCCGAACCCAAGGGCAGAUUCCCACGCGUUACGCACCCGUGCGCCACUAGACCCGAAGGUCUCGUUCGACUUGCAUGUGUUAGGCAUGCCGCCAGCGUUCGUU